ACAUUCUAAAGUUGAUCAAAUUGUAAUUUAUGUAAUUAACAUUUUCAACGUAGGCACAGCAUCAUGUGAGAAGCUCACUGCCAUUCUGUUAGCUCCACGGUUUGUGAAGGACGUAGAGAAGAUAAGCCCUGUGUACCACACAUCCACCUUGGAGGCUUUCCACAGCCUCAUCAUCAGAUUUACUCCAAAAAGUCAGGUCUUCUCCUUCAAAGGAAUGCUGUCUAGAUUACAAAUUGCUGCAAUGCACUAUAAUGAAAAUGCAGCACGCUCACAUGCAGCAACAGCAACUGGUGAGCUGAGAUAUGCUGUAGUGUACCCAAAGUACAAACAUGGAGACUACACAGUGAGAGCCCUGAAGACCAAUCCAACCUCAUUAUAUGUGCACAAGCUUAUGGACCUGCUGUUCGACUCUGUGGUGGUGGAUCCUCUCCCAUAUCAGGAGUACUCGGACAAAAUUCCGGUUCCAGAACCUCUCUGUGCCCAGUUCCAAAGACCAGAUAAACGGGAUGCUGUGAGCAGGCACAGGUCCAGGUUUUAAAGUGCACGUAAGGUGAGCUACACAACAAGAGAUUGUAAUUAUUAGUUAGUACUCUACUCUGUGUGGUUUUUCCUUUUCUCCUCCUCAGCCAGGCUGCACACCACUGUACGACAGAGGAGUUACCUGUCGUCAUUAUGGAUCUUUAUGCUCAUCCACUCGUGACUCAUGCUGUCCACCUCCCAGAUGUCUAUUGAUCUCUACAACCUUUCUGCUCUGUGGCUCCCAUACAACUUGAAAAUCUUGGCCAGCCUCCUGAUAUUGUUACAGAAAAGCCUGUGCUCCCGGGAUCCAUCUCCACGUUUGUCAUCACAGUGAAAGCUACCUCCAGUCUAAGGAACCAAAGAAACAUCACUGAUGGCCCAAC